CAGUCGCCACGGGAAUACAGAGGGUGCGAGCGUUAAUCGGAUUUACUGGGCGUAAAGCGUGCGUAGGCGGCUUUUUAAGUCGGAUGUGAAAUCCCUGAGCUUAACUUAGGAAUUGCAUUCGAUACUGGAAAGCUAGAGUAUGGGAGAGGAUGGUAGAAUUCCAGGUGUAGCGGUGAAAUGCGUAGAGAUCUGGAGGAAUACCGAUGGCGAAGGCAGCCAUCUGGCCUAACACUGACGCUGAGGUACGAAAGCAUGGGGAGCAAACAGGAUUAGAUACCCCCGUAGUCCCUGUCUCUUAUAC
rnacentral:rRNA from 1 species